AACUUUCCCCAAAUGGCAAACAGAAGUGGUGGUGGAGUUGCUGUUUAUGUGAAAAGUGACAUUCAAGUGCAUGAAAAACAGUACAUCCAUAAUGUAACUGACCUUGAAUUUCUGGCUUUAAAGGUUGAAGCACCAGUCAGUGCACUGAUUGCAGUUGUAUACAGACCUCCAGACUACACUCUGAGGCCAUUCCUGAAAAACCUGGUAAGCCUAUUAGACUCAUUAGAGAUCAUGGACUGUCAUCCCAUCAUAGUUUGUGGUGAUUUUAAUGAGAAUGUUUUAUCCAGUGCAAACAAACCAAUCAUGGAGCUGUUUGAGUCUAGGGGAUAUGCACAGGUCAUCACUGCCCCUACCACAGAGAAGAACACACUGCUUGACCUUAUUUUCAUUUCUCAGCCAGAGCGAUGUCUCCAUUCUGGAGUCAUGAAGACCUACCAUAGUUACCAUGACCCUGUAUACUGUGUAUUGUCCUGUGAUGAUUCAUGAUCUAGAUCUUUGACUACAAGCUGAGACACUCAGGACUGAACAGACUGCACAGUUUCUGUGACUGAGCCUCCAAAACACCUUCUUUGAAACCACACAUGAUAGAUUUGCAGCAGCACUACUAAAGUUGGCAGGAAUGUUGCUGCAGGAAAACAUCCCUGGAGACCACCAUCAUUGUCAGACUGACUGUGCCUCCUCUGUGCAGUGUCAAGAGCCUCCUUAAAUGAGUGUGUAAGUUAACAUUUUCAUUAUUUUAUUCCCUU